CCGGAGGCUCACACUGGCGGCGUUUGCGUCACUCAGCUCUUGGUUCUGCGGCUCCUUUGGCGGUGGUGUCUGGCAGGAUGGAAGAACACCAAGGAAUGACACUUGAGGCAAUUUGAUCCCUCUCAAGAAGUUUGUAAAUGGAACCCCACAGUCCUGGAUGCUGCAGGACCCCCAUUUUCCCCAUCGUCCCUCUCCAGGAAUUCCCUGCUGCACCGUGGAAUAUCCAGACAUCCCUCAACACUUCCGAAGGGGAACAGGCUCUCAGUGGGGUUUGGACCUGGG